AUACCACCUGUCUAUAACUACUACCUGUAUAUAUUUACGACCUGUCUAUAACUACCACCUGUCUAUAACUACUACCUGUAUAUAUCCUUGUUUCAGCACAGUGUUCAAGUCCCUUAUCUUGGCCAAUAGAAAUCAUAUACAAUUCUACAAAAUUCAGCGACAUUUGUCCGGUGUAUGUUAAAACGGUCUGUUAUAUAUUGAAACAUAAAAUGGUUAAAGUGAAAUGUCAGUUGCAUUGCAACGCCAACAAAUGCAUCUGUCACAAAAACGUAUUUUUGCAAGCCUCGGCAAGGCGAAGGCAACCGUUUUGAUAUGCCAAUUUCAAUUCAUGACUUGAUGUCAAUAUUAUGACAUAAAGUCGAAUUCUACUUGGCAUAGCCAAUCAAAACCCUCCACGGUAUAUUAUACUGGUGACAUAUGCAAACUUACGCUUGAGAAUUAAUUGGAUAACAAACGAUUCUGUGAUAAGAUUUAAUUGACAUUGUAGAUGGAGCUACAUCUGCUGGACCAAACGACUGUAAUGCUGCUGUAUCAAAACCCAACAGUUUAGGUGGAGCCACGUCUGUCCAACCAGCUGACGUAUACAGUACUGUAAUUAAACGUAGCGACAGAGCUGAAGAAAAUGAAGUAGAAGGACAGCAAUCAUCAAGGACAACGAACAAAGAUGGCUUAGUCUAUUUGGAAGUGAGCUUCAGAACGAAAACUGACAGCGACAGAUCCGGCCAGAUUGUCAUUCACGGCGCAGAGAACAGAUGUGAAUACGGGGAAAUUGACUUCUCAAGGAAAGUCACCUUACCAGAAGAUCUGGAAAAUUAAGACAUCUAACGAGUGCUGUCGUUAUGUUUUAAUUCAAGCUUUAAUUUCAAGUUGCUAUUCAUAUGCAAUGAUCGAAUUACGAUCUUGGUACCGUUUUUAUAUCAAAAUCAUAGCUCUACGGUUACUAAUAAAGCUGACGCGUACCGUGGAUUCAAGUACGCGUUGUGAAACGGUACCAUGAUAACAUGAAUUAGUCCAGUUUCUCAGUUAUCUAUAUCAUUGGAUUUCCAAUAACUAUAUGUCUUCAAUAAACAUGAGGGAUUAUUUUCUGUGGUGGUGCUUCGUGUAAAUAACUAUUACCCAUGUUUAUGUUGACAGAAAUACUAAGUAAAUAUAUUGAACAAUGUCCUUGAGGCAAACAAUUAGAUUUAGCGGAUUGCGAAUUCCAGCUUUUUAACUUGUUAUUUGAUUAUUUACUUGUUUUCACAUUUAUCAAAAGUGUUCUUUUACAAGUCAGAUAAGUAAGCUUUGGAGUUGUUCGGAAUUAAUCACCGCAUAUUAUGGAUAGUGGUCCGAAAGCGUUCGAAACAUAUUUUUUUGUUUUCAUAAUAUAAGUUACAGAUGCAUGCUGUUCAGAUAUAGAUAAAGGACGUAUAAGGACUAGCUCACCCUUAUCGUACAUAGACACACAAGGGAGGUAAUCUGACUCAAUAUACAUAGACACACAAGGGAGAAAUCUGACCCAAUAUAAAUAGACACACCAGGAAGGUAAUCUGACUAUAUAUACAUAGAUACACAAGGGAGGUAAUCUGACAGAAUAUACAUCGACACCCAGGGGAGGUAAUCUUACUCAAUAUACAUAGAAACACAAGGGAGGUAAUCUGACUCAAUAUAAAUAGACACACAAGGAAGGUAAUCUGACUAUAUAUACAUAGAUACACAAGGGAGGUAAUCUGACAGAAUAUACAUCGACACCCAGGGGAGGUAAUCUUACUCAAUAUACAUAGAAACACAAGGGAGGCAAUCUGACUCAAUAUACAUAGACACACAAGGGAGGUAAUCUGACUCAAUAUACAUAGACACACAAGGGAAGUAAUCUGACUAUAUAUACAUAGAUACACAAGAGGGGGAAUCCAACUCAAUAGCUAAAGGAUGUAUAAGGAAUAUAUAACUCUUAUGUUACAUAGAGACACACAGGGGAGAUAAUUUUACUCAAUUAUACUUGGACACACAAGGGAGAUAAUCUGACUCUAUAUACAUGGACACACAAUGGAAGUAAUCUGACUCAAUAAAUACUCAAUAAAUAAAUGAUUAUAGGGAAUAUCUAACUCUGAUUAUAGAUAGAAACACAAGGGAGGUAAUCUCGCACAUACAUCUGUGUAUAUUAAAAGGAACACACUGCGUUCUAUAUAUUGAUGAUUAUGAAAUAAGUGAAACAAGAAUGUAGCAGAUUAAAUCACUAUAAUUUGAUGUGUAAUAGACAACAAAAUCAUACUUAUGAUUGUGAAUGUUCAUUCAUAUAUACAUAUAUAUAUCCUAUUUGGAUAUCAUGACUAUAAGUUAGAUUUUUUAUUUGUUUGUUAUUUGUAUAUUAUUAUGUUAAUAUAUAAUUUUGCGUUCGACCUUUGAAUAUUCCUUGAUUAAGUAUUGCAUGCUUCUUAUGCUUUCUAAUAACUAAAUGUAGUUAUUCCUGCUGUUUGUAGCUGGAAGAUAUCUAAAAUAGGACAAUUACUUUUUUGAAAUAUUCAACUUAGCAAUGACCUGUUUUUUGGUGUGUGUUUUUUGAUGUGCGUAAUCUUAAAUAAUGACCUAUGUGAACAGGAAUAAUGAUAGCCAUGGAACGACAUGAGAGGAAUUGAUGAUUAUGAUUGUAUGUAGAUUUAUACAGCAAAGUUCCCGUAAACUACUAUAGAUACUAUCAAAUAGAUGUUUCUAGAAGAUAUGUCUUACAUAAUCGCCGUUUAACUGAUCUGACAUAACUUGAGGUCAUGAACUUAUAAUAGAAAGACAUCACAAGUUUAAAAUACACCAACAGGUGCGAGCUCCUCACUCAAAGCCAAAAAAAUCAAAACAGUCCUGAAUUUCGUUUCCAUUUUGUCCUCAAUUCAUAAAAAAGAUUAUCACAUUGAAGUCUGGAUCUAGGGAAACAAGGAAUCUUAACACUAGUAAAAUCAAAAACAAUUUAUAUAUGAAUCCAUGUAAGAUUACAUAUAAAAUAUAGGUACAGUGUUUUAAUAUACAGUGUAGUAUGUAGCAUUCCAUUUGCAUGUUUAUCAAAGUCAUACAAAAUGUUAUAUGAAUUCAAAUGUACUAUGUAUAUAUGCAUGCUGGUUUUUUUUCUUUUUUUUUCAUUUACUUGUCAUAAUCAUUUGUUAUAUUUUGCAUCGUUGCGGUUCAGGGACUGCCUGAUUGUCGUAACUAAGGGUUUCUUUAUUUCAAUACACAAACUGCCUCUUUGGAGUGUCUUUAUUCCAUUGAUGUAGAAGUAUAUCUUCAUCUUGUAAAUCAGAUUGCAUGAUUCCUAAUCUAUUAUUCUAUUCUGUAAUAUAUGACUGGGAAGUCUCAAUAUUUUGCCUUUUGAAUCUACAACUUUCUUUGCUAUAACUGAUGAUUCGCUGAAGCCGACGACGCUUACCUCUGAGGAACACCUGGUCGUAAUAUCCUUUCACUCGUUAAAAGGUCUCUAUAGUUUUGUGUAUGUAGAGCUGAAUUCUGUUUCAUAUUUAUCAAAAUGUUUUAGUGACACUCAUUUCCCUCAUUUUGUUAUUUUAUAUAUAUAUAUAUAGUUUAGAUCUUUUGGAAUGUACACAUAUAAUCAUUGACGUUUGUGUUUUGUUUGUUUGUUUUAUUAUUAUUAUUAUUUCUUUUUUUCCGUGUUUAACAAAUGUUACCGACAUGAUUGAUUUUUAAUGUUGCGCAUAUUUGAAUUUCUUGAUAUAUUUAAUCUUACGUAGACGCAAGUUUCACAUUGCAAAGUUGGCAUAACUAUUUUUUUCAUCCUAUCCCAUUUUAUAUUAUUUACAAGUUUUCUGAACAAUGGGUUUAUGCUAUCCAACUCAAAAGUCGCAUAAUGUUUCAUUAUUUUGAAAGUGAUAAAUAUUCACCCGCUAUCAAUUGAUCGGCUUCAGAUGAACGUGGGGCUUCUCGAGCGGUAUGUAAUUUAUACGUGUACGCCCGAUAGUUUGGUUGCAGAUUUUAGUGACCUGACUGAGUAGCCAGUUAACUGUUGACAACUCUAAUUUUAAGUAAGAUUGACGUUCUCGCUCACAAUCUAUAUUCUUUAUCUUUCAUCAUAACGUCGUUCUAGGACUUGUCGUUGAUGUCAAAAACCUCUGCAACUGUCUCGUCCCUUCUAUGACUUGUCAGUGAUGAUAGGUAUAUCAUACAGCUGUUUCGUCUUUCAAGGACUUGUCAGUUAUGUAAGAUUAAGACUUGUCAGUGAUGUUAGGGACAUCAUUCAGCUGUCUCGUUCUUCUAAGACUUGUCAGCGUUGUUAUGGACAUCAGUCAACGGUAUCAUGGUUUUAAGAGUUGAUACGGACAUCGUACAGCCCUUUUUGCCCUUGUAGGAAUUUUCAGUGCUUUAAGGGACAUCCUACAUUUGUUCCGUCUUUCUAGAACAUCUCACAGCUGUCGGUUGUCUUCAUGGAUUUGUCAAUGAUGCUACAGACAUCAUACAACUAUAUCGACAUUCUAGGACUUGUCAGUGAUGUUAGAGAAAUCAGCUGUUCCUCUUUCUAGGACUUGUUAGUGAUGUUAUUGUCCAAAACGAGAAAAUCAUCUAGGGAUUUCUCUCUGGAUUAAUACACAAACUGCCUCUUUGGCUUGUCUUCAUUCCAUCGAUGUAGAAUUAUAUCUUUCGAUUAACAUGCAGGGGGGUUCAAGAAAAUUAUGUGAGCCAAAAUAAAGCAUUAAGAUAUAUAAAGGUAUGUUCGUUAACUACGUGUUUUUCCCAAACAAUCAGCUUGUGACAUAUUUGAUUCUUGUUUAUGAAAUCCAUCGUAUUGUAUAAUCCUAAUGCCUCAACUAACAAGCAAUAACCUUAUUAAAUUUGUAUUCCUCUGAAAAA